UGGACACGUCAUUACCCUUAUAAAUUGCCCACCGUGUAAGCAGUGGACAGGGAGAGACGCAGAAAGCUGUUCCCGAAACCGAGCCUGAUCAACUCGAGGACUCCCUCAGCCGCGUGUUUUAAGGAGCCUACCCGAUUGCCGGUGAUAAUGAAACUUUUGUGGUUUGUGUGUGAGAAACAAAGAGGUCAGCGAGGCUGAGGAUUCGAUGGGUGGGUGCUGAUAUGACUCAAGGCAUGGACUUAAGUGUGAGGUGCUACUGCAGUACAAAGAGAGAAGUGGCUAGUGAUUUUGAGGGCCUGCUGUGGAAGGCAUCUUCAUGGGGCCUGGUUUUCAGAAAGUGCUGAGCAUCCACUCUCUGGACCUUGUUGAAGACACACCUGUAAGGUUGGGAUCAGAUGCAGGAUUAUGGUUUUGGUGACCGACAGAAACAUCACUGCAGGAACCGACAAGCAAGAUGCCCAGACCAUCCA